rnacentral:lncRNA from 1 species
CCCUACCACAAUGCGUCUGUGGGCCAACAUAGAAUCCAUGGCUUCACCUGCUUCUGUAUUCCUGGAUACCAAGGUAGGCAAUGUGACGUGGAAGGAUAUGAAUGUGUUUCUGAUCCUUGAAUGAAUGAGGCUGUAUGCCUCAAUGAGAUAGGAAGAUACAUCAGUGUUUGUCCUCAAGGGUAUUCUGGUGUUAACUGUGAGUUGGAUCCCAACCCCAUUUACAUGCUGCCACGUCUCAGGAUGCUUUGGGGUCUUAUAUCUGUGACUAUGUACCUAGAUUUCUUGAAGGCCACUAUGAACUCAACAUUGAUGAUGUGCCAGUAAGUCAUGUGGUCUAUGUGUGAAUGGAAGAACAAAUACUAUAGCAACUGCAAUGGUUUCAGAUUUAAAAUAGCACACUGUGAGACUUUGAUGCCUCUUAGUUGGUCAAAGACUAAUCACAAUGGUACAACAUCUGAAAGAUCUGUUGAUAAAUGUAUUUGUCACUGCUGGCCUGGAAACACAGGUACACCAUGUGAGACAUACAUAAAUAAAUGCAGUCACAACUCCUGCAAAUUUAGUGAGAAAUGUGUCAAGCUAUCCACAGAGGAUUAAUAGCAAAACAUUGCAGAUCAGUCUUAAUCCUUCAACUACCUUCAAGCCUCAGAUUAUGUUUGUUUCUGU